AUGAUUGGCCUGAAUGAGGAACCAGCUGAAAAUAAUGAUGAUCCAUUGUACUGUACACAACAUGCUGCUGGAAAUGCAGAAUUUGUGGCGGAAUCACCUAAUCCCCCUAUCAUCCAAAGAGUCGAUGGUGCUGCUACAGAAGCAAUGGAGACAGAUGGGCAGUCAAGUCAUGGGGGGCGUGCUCCGGGCAGUACACAAGUACCUGCAGCUGUAGAAGCUGGGAGUGAUGCUCAUACCCUUGAUGGCACAGGUGUUGCAGGUGAUCCCGGUGGCACUGUUAGUAAUGGUUUGGGUGCUGAAAAUGAUGAUGAAGCUUGGUCACAGCCCAAGGAGCCUUACAUGGGCAUGAGGUUCGACACUUUGGAAGAUGCCAAGGUGCAUUACAAUGCAUAUUCCUUGCAAAUGGGGUUUUCAAUCAAAAUGAAUAGUUCAAGGAAGGAUCUCAAAACCAGGGAGUUGAUAAAACAACAGUUUGUUUGCAACAAGUUUCGAAAGCCUGAUGUUGAUGACGGAGGGGCAGAAAAGAUUCCCAUGCUAGAUGACAUUGUUGAGCAAGCAAACGAUGAUAAUGAAGAUGAGGCUAUUGUCUUUCUUGAUGAUGAUAGUAAAGGCAAAAAGAGGAGCAAGAAACGAAAAAGAGAUAAAAUUGUGUAA
rnacentral:rRNA from 1 species